AAACAUGGGAAAGUUACUUUCCCAUGAGGUGGGAAUCACUCUUUUUUAUUUUUUCCCAAAAAGACCCUUCAGCAUUAAAGAAGCAUUAAAGAGGCAUUAAAAACCUAAUUUUUAUUAAGGGCAUAAUAGGAAUUAUACAUAACUUUCCUAGGAAAGUGGAUGGUCAACCAAACAUAAGCACUUUGAAAAUUUGUCACUUUCCCAUGGUUAACCAAACAUGCCAAAAGUACUUUCCUAGGUAUCCUCUUCCUAGGAAUCUGAUUCCCAGGAAUCAUAUUCCUAGGAGGGAAAAUACUUCCCGCGAACCAAACGAGCCCUUAGUUUUUAGAGUUUGAAUUGAACCUUCAGCUAUUGUCCUUGCAUCCUCCAACCACCAAGGUGGGUGAACCAAGGAACAUACAUACCCUCAUCUAAAAGGCUUGCCAUCUAUUGGAUUCUGGUAGAAACAGUAUUGUUAGCUGCUGAAAAUCUCUAAAAAUGAUGUGCCUUAAAAAGUAGACUCUAGAAUUAAUUCCUGUUGCUGUUACCUGCAGCAACAAUUGAACAACAAAUAUGAAAAAUAAAAUUGAAUAGCAAUUUUGAUAAACAAAUUACUGGAGUCAAA
rnacentral:lncRNA from 1 species